rnacentral:rRNA from 1 species
CCUACGGGUGGCAGCAGUCGAGAAUCAUUCACAAUGGGGGAAACCCUGAUGGUGCGACGCCGCGUGGGGGAAUGAAGGUCUUCGGAUUGUAAACCCCUGUCAUGUGGGAGCAAAUUAAAAAGUUAGUACCACAAGAGGAAGAGACGGCUAACUCUGUGCCAGCAUCCGCGGUAAUACAGAGGUCUCAAGCGUUGUACGGAAUCACUGGGCGUAAGGCGUGCGUAGGCGGUUUCGUAAGUCGUGUGUGAAAGGCGCGGGCUCAACCCGCGGACGGAACAUGAUACUGCGAGACUAGAGUAAUGGAGGGGUAACCGGAAUUCUCGGUGUAGCAGUGAAAUGCGUAGAUAUCGAGAGGAACACUCGUGGCGAAGGCAGGUUCCUGGACAUUAACUGACGCUGAGGCACGAAGGCCAGGGGAGCGAAAGGGAUUAGAUACCCCUGUAGUC